AAUAGAUACCCGGGUAGUCCACGCCGUAAACGAUGGAUACUAGCUGUUCGGCGUAAGCUGAGUGGCUAAGCGAAAGUGAUAAGUAUCCCACCUGGGGAGUACGAACGCAAGUUUGAAACUCAAAGGAAUUGACGGGGGCCCGCACAAGCGGUGGAGCAUGUGGUUUAAUUCGAUGAUACGCGAGGAACCUUACCAGGGCUUAAAUGUAGAUUGACAGGUUUAGAGAUAGACUUUUCUUCGGACAAUUUACAAGGUGCUGCAUGGUUGUCGUCAGCUCGUGCCGUGAGGUGUCAAGUUAAGUCCUAUAACGAGCGCAACCCCUGUUGUUAGUUGCCAGCGAGUCAAGUCGGGAACUCUAACAAGACUGCCAGUGCAAACUGUGAGGAAGGUGGGGAUGACGUCAAAUCAUCACGGCCCUUACGUCCUGGGCUACACACGUGCUACAAUGGUAGGGACAGAGAGCAGCCACUUCGCGAGAAGGAGCGAAUCUAUAAACCCUAUCACAGUUCGGAUCGGAGU
rnacentral:rRNA from 1 species